rnacentral:lncRNA from 1 species
UGUUGGAGGAGUAGGAGUUGGAGGUGAUGUUGAAGGAGUGGGAGGAGGAGGAGGAGGACAAGCAUUAGGUGAUGGCGGUGGUGGGCUAGGCUUAGGUUUUGGUGGUGGAGGGCUAGGCUUAGGUUUAGGAGUUGGGUUGCAUGUACCACAAGCAUGAGAAAAUGUUGAAUAAGCAAGAAGAGAAAACAAUAUGAUUAGUGCACUGAGCUUGUUAGAAGCCAUAGUCAAUUAAGGAUGCAAAAAUGAAAAGAAUGUGACCAUUUUUAAGGGGAGAAUUGGACCAUUUUUAAUAGGCAACAUUUUGUGAGGUUCAGUCAUAUCAUGUGGAAAAAUCUGAUUGAGUGGAAGAGAGUGUGAUAUUGAUAAUGAUAAAUGAUAAUGUUUAAAUAGAUUUUUUGUAAGCUUGUGAAAUAAUGGUUUUAUAUAUUAGUGGUUGUUAAUUUUCUAAUUAAAAUAUUUGUUAUUUUUAAUAAUUUAUUUUUCAUAUUUUAUGAUAUUAUUAUUUCAUUUUACUUAGUAGCUUAUAUGUCAUGGGAAGGUUACAAUUCUAAAGAUGUUGUACUCUAAUUUCCUUCAUGAAUUAUUAGAAACCGAUUCAUCCGAUUCACAUUUUAAUUUAUCCUCAGGUUCUAGUCCGAAGCUAAUAAUGAAUGUGGAGAAACCUCAUCUUAUAUUAUAGUCUUAAUUAAAUUAACUUGGAGGAAUUUUCUAUUUAGUUAGUACAUCGAAACAACUAUAAAUUCUGCAAGAAUAUUAGGGUGUCUCUAUAAACAUUUGGAAUUCUUGUAAUUGCAAUUUUGAUUUUUCGGUUCACACAAUUAAGUUUUUUUUUGUACAUUAGUCUGUAAUUUUUCGAUUCUUCUUCAAAACUCUCACUAUGUGAAUAACAUUGGUUUAUUUUUUCAAAGAUGAAUAAGUUUUAGGAAAAUGUUAAACAGUGCUUCUGUGACACUCUUUAAGCAUCUUAAUAGUAAGUUUUUGUUAAAAUUUUAUGAAAAUGUAUGAAGUCAACACAUUGAAAAUUAAAAUAUUUCACUUUUUAAAUAAAUUAUUUCUUUAAAUGAAAUACUUAAAGAGUCACCUACCUUUUAGUAAAACCGUAAGUAUACAUAUGAAAAUUUCUCUUUUAAGUCCCAUGGGUUUCUCUUAGACACCUCAAAAUUUCAUUUUUAUUGUUCAUAAUCUACGUUCUGAAUUUGGUGUAGGUUCGAAACGUAAUUUUCGGACCAAUUUUAUAUUGAUAAAUUUCAAAUUUUAGAUUAUGAAAUUUUCAAAAAUAGAAACUUGAUCCUUAAUGAGAUUUGUAUCACCAUUAUCGUUUCUCUGCUUCUGAAAAUAAUGUGAAGAGAAUAUAUGCUUCAAAUUCAUCAUAAUUACAUUCAAGUGUAUGAAAGCAUCAAAGAGAAUAAAGUGAAGAGAAUCCAUUUAAAAAUACAUAAAGAAAAAUCAAUUUUUUUUCAAAAUUUAAAACAAACGCACCCUUAUUGUCAUUGGAUAAACCAGAGCAAUUCCUCUGUUUUGAAGACGAAGACGAACUUAUAGUAAAAUUGGUGAUGCAAAUUAAAUCUCAUUAAGGAUUAAACUUCUAUUUUGAAAAAUUUCGGAAUCUAAAAUCCAAAAAAUUUCAAUGUAAAAUUGGUUCAAAAAUUACAUUUUAAACCUACAUCAAAUUCAGAACGUAGUUUCCAAAUUGAAUUUUAAGAGCAAAAACAGAAUUUUAGAGGUAUAAGGAAAACAUGGGGGCCUAAAUAGAAAUUUUCAAUGCAUAUAUAACCAACCCACUUAUUAUUGGGCUUUGAAUUACCUAUUUAUCUUCUAUAUAUUAAGAUUGUAUGCAAUGCAGCUGAUAAUUAGAGUUUAGAAAGAUUGUAUGCGAUUAGUGUCUAAGACACUAAGAUGGUGUGUCUCUGCAAUUGUGUGAAUGAACUGCAUGAAUGUGGGAUCGGAAUUUGCUGCGGUAGAAAGAGCACGCAGUUAUGCACCGUAAUUGAUCUAAAUUAUUAAUUUUACAUUAAAGGAUUUAUAUUACAUAUACACCACUAAAAUAAUUCUGACCAUUAAUUAUAUAAUCGAACAGUUGAAGCUGGAACUGCGAUCAGAGUUCUAGUUAUAGGCUUACAGCAAAAGAAAUCUAUAUCACAUGAAUGUGUGGUCCACAUUUGCAAUACAGCUUGCAUGUGAUUGAUUAAAGUUCAUUAAGCACUGUACAAAAUACUUGUAAAUUGGCCUUUUGUCUAUAAAACUUAGGUUAACAAUAUUGAUAUCAUUCAGUUCACUUCCCCUAAUUAAGCAACUUACAUGCUCAAGUCCAAUAAAUAACCUAAAUAAAACAAUUUACAAUAAUCCAUGCAUUGCAUAAAUUUAAGUAAGUAUGACAACAACAUUCAUCAAAUAAAAGUUCCCCAAAUAUUAUUAAAAUUAAAAAGCAAAGUUGCUAAAUGAGGCAACCAGGCUUGCCUUAUUAUUAAAACGAAACUCAUCCCAAAUAGAUAUAGUUACGUAUUUAUUAGCAGAAUCACAAAGAUACACCGUGAUUUUGACAAAAGCUACACUUCAAAGUUUUUCCAACAUCAUAGUGUCACUGUAAUUUCGUUAAACUCACUGUAUUUUUAUUGUGCACAUAAACAUAUUAACUAAAAUUAAAACAGCAAUGAAAGUACUAAGCAUAUGGCUUGAAGUACUUUUGACAUGAUCAAAUUCUAAGGACAUUGGAAACCAGAAGGAACAGAUUUUUCACAAGCACUAAGUAGGAGACUUAGUGUGAUAGGAACAUUCAAGUUGAUACCAAGAAUAUUAGCCUUAAUAGCAGUACAUAAACAAAGUGCUGCAUCCAAAUCAACCAAACCUUGAAGCAAUGCACAACACUUGCUUGAAGCAGGAGAUCCAAUAACAAUAUUAACAAGUCCUAAAACAUCAGCACAAACACCUAGCUUUAAUGUGUCAGUUGGACAUUUUUUUGAUGUUGAAGGAGGUGUAGGUGUUAUCGAAGGAGUAGGUGGAGGAGGACAAGCCUUAGGUGGCUUAGGUGAAGGUGGUGGAGGGCUAGGCUUAGGUUUUGGAGAUGGAGUUGGUUUGCAUGAACCACAAGCAUGAGAAAAUGUUGAAUAAGCAAGAAGAGAAAACAAUAUAAUUAGUGCACUAAGCUUGUUGGAAGCCAUUGUUAAUUAAGGUUGUAAAAAUUAAAAGAAAUGUGUGUGUGUG